CUAUAGCGUAAGGAAUGUAAAGUUUUUCUCUUAUCCUUUUUGGCUCUGCUCUUUUUCUAACUCAUUCAUUGUAAUUCAUACUCCUUUUUUUUAAAUGUUUUCUUUAUUUUUGCGAGAGAGAGAGAGAGAGAGAGAGAGAGAGAGAGAGCGCGAGCGAGCGCAAGCGAGCGCACAGUUUGGGGAGGGGCAGAGAGAGGGAGACAGAGGAUCCGAAGUGGGGUCUGCACUGAGAGUAGUGAGCCCAAUCUGGGGCUUGAACUCCAGAACCGCGAGAUCAUGACCGGAGCCAAAGUUGGACACUCAACCGAGUGAGCCACCCAGUAUGUAUGCUUUGUGAAAGGAACUUGAUCUCUCAUUGGUCCUGGAGACAACAGCACCUGGAAUUGAACCUGGCACAUAAAGUUACAGGGAAGGAUUGGGAGCAGCAUCCCUAUGGGAGCGGGAGUGAGGGAAGAGGCCCGGACCAGAGGAGAAGUUGAACUGCGGCAUAGCUACAACAGAAUCAUCAGCUGAUCCCAGGGGGAGCUCUCCAGCGGGGAUGGCCCUUCCGAGUUGUCCUGAAGAGAGGCCCUCAGUGGAUUGGAUGAGGCCCACGCACUUUCGGGAGGAAAACCGGCUUUACUGAGCCCAUUAAUUCAAAUGCCAGUCUCAUCUGGAAACACCCUCACAGACGCACCCAGAAGUAAGAUGUAAUCCGGCCAACCCACGGCCCGGUCGGUCGAGCUGACACAAGAUUGAGUUAACCGUCACGUACAGCCUUUAAAACAGCAUCCCGAAGUAUUUGGAGCGUUUAGCACCGGGGCUGACAGCUUAUCACCUGCUGAUAAGAGAAACAAGCCACGUGAAGGGAGACAGCAGAGAAGGCUGCAGACAGUCUGUGCAACUUUUACCCGCGCUUGCUUCGGGGUUACGGAUCAUCCGUUAUUGUUUUUACAUUUCUUUACAUUUUUCUGCAUUUGCCGUACUUUCCGCAACGAACGGGGAUCGCUGUGAUGAGGAAAGGAAGGAAGAAAGCAAACCCCGGGGGCUCAGGCAGUACUGGAAUCUCUUCGCCGCCCAGAAGAAUCAGUUCAGGGGGUGCCUCCACACCUCAGGCCGUGGCCAUGUGGCUGUCCUCUUCCUGUAGACCCUCAGCUGGACCAGCGGCCACUUCCCCCUCCUCAGUGACCCCUCAGGCAGGGGAGAAUCAAGGUGCCACAGGGCAGGCGGGAAUUCUGCCUGGGACUGGGGUGCUGGGGGUGGGCCCUAGGGGGUCCCUCACAACUGUGACCCACCCCAGGAGCCCUGGGUGAGGCCAAAUGGAGGGGUGUGGGGGAAAGGGAAGGCACACGAGAACUGGGCCUCGGCCCCCUCUGACCGCCUCUUGUCUGCCCUUCUGCACGCUCAGCCCAAGGCAACUGUCAGGAGUUGUCACGUGCCCUCGGUGAAAUCGCCUGGGAACACGGGGAGGGGACACAACCCGGUCCUGUCCUCCUGUGGCAGGCUCGGGGAGGGCAGAGAGGGGCGUGGAGACCGGGGGUAGGGGCAGCACGGGAGGCGAUGCGGGCUCUGCAAGAGAACCGCAUGCGGCAGGGGAGGCCCUGCCAAGGUCCCUUGUGUUUGCAGGCAGUUUCCCUGAGAGGCCCUUGACCAUGGCGAGUUCCUACGACUGCGGCCACCACACUAAGACCGAGCCGUCUUCCACCUCCUGGAGUCUCUCUGGAUGGCCAACGUGAGCUGCCAGGGAAAAGUCACAGGCAAACAGGGCUCCCUGGCUGCCCAGGAGAGUGGCCAACAGGAUGGAACUAGGGCUGCAGAGGAAGGACUUUGGACAAGACCCCGUAUCCUUUUUGCAGCAUCCUGGAUGGCCAGCUGUGGGGCAAGCUGCUCGCCUGGGCAAGCUUGCCGGGCAAGCAAGCCGGGGUGGGGGCUCGUGAAGUUGGCAACAGGCUGUAGUGCUGGAGGAGGAGGAGGAAGAAGAAGAGAUCCUGGUGAGGACACAGUCACAGAUGUGGUCUGCGAACCAGGAAGCAGGUGCUCACCAGACAUGGAAGCUGCUGGCAUCUUGAUCUUGAAGCUCCAGCCUCCAGAACUGUGAGAAACUCUGCAAAAGACCUGCCUUUGGAGGUUGGACAUGGUCAGACGCUGCCAGCUGUUUGGGAGAUGUGAGCUCAGCCUCGGGGGGAGAGCAAGAGAAUGCCUGAGGAUGGGAAAGGUUCUGGAAGGAUACUUGAAGAACAUACCCUUCCACUCUGACCCUGGGAGCCACCUCACCGAGAAGGGAAUGACAUUUCCAGGCCUCUGCUCUGAGACCCCUGUUACUGCGGGCUGCCUUCCAGACACUUGGGGGAGCUACUAAGACUCAUGCCCACUCAGAAACAAGACAUCUCAGACAGUCCCAGAUGGCCACCAAGGGGCAAACCCAUUGUCCCCAAGCCCCUGCUACCCACCUCAGGCAGGCAGGGACUGGAGAGGUCAUGGCAUUGGUACCUUUCUAGGUCCUUGGGGAUGAGUGCAGAGGAAAGUCUUGUAAGAGACCAUGCUGGGCUUCUAAGCAAUGUGCGCCCCAAAUCCUUCUAUGUUUAAGUUGGUUUGCGUUGGGUUUCUGUCACUUGCAGCUACAGGAGUCUUCACGGAUACAGAGGCCAGCCACUUCCCGAGUUGCCAAGUGACCCAUUUAGGCCGUUCCUGCCUUAUCCGAUACCC